GAUGAACGCUGGCGGCGCGCCUAACACAUGCAAGUCGAACGAUUAAAGCACCUUCGGGUGUGUAUAAAGUGGCGAACGGCUGAGUAGCACGUGGGCAACCUGCCCCUCUCAUUGGGAUAGCCACGGGAAACCGUGGAUAAUACCGAAUACUUCGGGACUUCCGCAUGGAAGACUCGAGAAAGCUCCGGCGGAGAGGGAUGGGCCCGCGGCCUGUUAGCUUGUUGGUGGGGUAAUGGCCUACCAAGGCAAUGAUGGGUAGCUGGGUUGAGAGACCGACCAGCCAGAUUGGGACUGAGACACGGCCCAGACUCCUACGGGAGGCAGCAGUGGGGAAUCUUGCACAAUGGGCGAAAGCCUGAUGCAGCGACGCCGCGUGCGGGAUGAAGGCCUUCGGGUUGUAAACCGCUUUCAGCAGGGACGAGGCGAAAGUGACGGUACCUGCAGAAGAAGCCCCGGCUAACUACGUG
rnacentral:rRNA from 1 species